GCCGUAGGGCGCGAGCGUUGUCCGGAAUUAUUGGGCGUAAAGGGCUCGUAGGCGGUUUGUCGCGUCGGGAGUGAAAACUCAGGGCUUAACCCUGAGCCUGCGGUCGAUACGGGCAGACUUGAGUUCGGCAGGGGAGACUGGAAUUCCUGGUGUAGCGGUGAAAUGCGCAGAUAUCAGGAGGAACACCGGUGGCGAAGGCGGGUCUCUGGGCCGAUACUGACGCUGAGGAGCGAAAGCGUGGGGAGCGAACAGG
rnacentral:rRNA from 1 species